rnacentral:tRNA from 1 species
UCCCUGGUGGUCCAGUGGCUAAGACUCCACGCUCCCAAUGCAGGGGGCUUGGGUUUGAUUCCCGGUCAGGGAA